AUGAAGUCUGGGCUCCGGCCCUCUCUCUUCUACACACUUGUGAACUUACACUGUUGCUUUGGCAGGUUUCCGGAGGGCGGCGAGAGCCCCCGAUGGUCAGGCCGAAAGGCGCCUGCCGAGGACAUUUAUCCACCCUUUUUGUAUCGUCUGAUUUUUGUUUAAAACAAAUAAAAUA
rnacentral:misc_RNA from 1 species